rnacentral:rRNA from 1 species
GACGUAGGAGGCGAGCGUUAUCCGGAUUCACUGGGCGUAAAGCGCAUGUAGGCGGUUGGACAAGUCGUGUGUUAAAGCCCCUGGCUCAACUGGGGGGAGGUCAUGCGAGACUGUGCGACUUGAGGGCAAGAGAGGCACGUGGAACUCCCGGUGUAGCGGUGGAAUGCGUAGAGAUCGGGAAGAACACCAGUGGCGAAGGCGACGUGCUGGGUUGCACCUGACGCUGAGAUGCGAAAGUGUGGGGAGCAAACGGG